rnacentral:RNase_P_RNA from 1 species
AGAGUCGCCCGGAUCACCGCGUUGUCGCAAGACACCGAGGAAAGUCCGGACUCCAUAGAGCAAAGUGGUGGCUAACGGCCACCCGGAGCAAUCCGCGGGAUAAGUGCAACAGAAAGUAAACCGCCAAUAGCAAUAUUGGUAAGGAUGAAACGGUGGUGUAAGAGACCACCAGCAAUUGCAGUGAUGCAGUUGGCUAUGUAAACCCCACUUGGAGCAAGACUAAACAGAUAGCGCUUAGAACGGCUCGUUCAAGUUAUCGGGUAGGUCGCUUGAUUCUGCAAGCAAUUGCAGAACUAGAUGGAUGGUGAUCCCUCGCAAGAGGACAGAAUCCGGCUUAUAGGGCGACUCUGUCU